GAGGAGUUGGUGGCCUCCGGGGACAGCAUGUCCUGGCCGAGGUCAUGGCAGGUGACAGGCACAGAAGACACCAAGAAGAGCAGCAGCAAGCAGCAACAAGGCAGACUGUCCUGAAGUUUUUUCUGUGUGCUGAAGUUUCAUCCAAAGGGGACAAGUGUAAGAUCAAAACUGGAGUUCACAUUUGAGUCUUAAGAUGUCUUCCUCUCCAGUGGGCCACACUAGCCACAUAUGGCAACAUCCCAUUUGAAGUUUUAACACAGCAAAACCCUUUGGAACCCUGAUCCUCUCCUGACUGUAAAAUGGUAUGUGAGCCAGCAAGGUGUUGUUUGUAUUUGAGUCUUGACUUUACAUGUAUUACUGCGCAGAGCUGCAGAGAACCAGAAGGAUUUUAUGACAGUGUGGUGACGUUGCCAUUGGGACUGGUCAGUGCACACACUCCUCUGCUCUGAAGGUCCUGUAUCCACCAGGAUCAAGCUGCCUUGUUUUCCAAAUCCUACAUUUUACUUGACUUUCCAAAUCCUCACUUGGCAUGACUGAUGGUCCUACCCAGUGAAUUUUACCAUUCUUGGCCCUGCUCCUGCAAAUCACUCAACUUAAGAAGGAAGCAGGCUAAGAUGAGAUUCUAAACAAUUGCUGUUGAAAGGAUAACUUUCUUGUCUGUACUAAGAAGACAGAGCAUGGUAUAUGCAGGUAGAAGAUGUUUUUCUUCAUUCUAAGCCCUGAACAAACAAAAUUAUUCCUCUCCUGGCUCACUGGCUCCUGUGGGGCUACUCAUUUGAUUUAGGAAAGUAGAGUUUUUGCCCACAUAGAAUUUGAGUCUUAGGAGUGAUCUCCUUCUGAUUUAAAAUUAUUACAGCCCAUCUGAGUGUAUUUAUAGUUCCAACUAAUCCUCUGCAGAUUCUUUAGACUAUAUUAUGUAAUGUGUGUUUUUACUUUUAUUGGUCUUCCUGAAACUCUAAUGUUCUUGUUAUUGCUGUUCUGAAAAUAAAACAUCUAUGUAACAAGACUAUCAUAUUUUGCAAUUUUUUUGGGACAGCCUCAAACUUAAAAAGCAUGUCA